rnacentral:rRNA from 1 species
GACAGAGGCCUCGAGCGUUAGGCGGAAUCACUGGGCUUAAAGCGUGUGUAGGCGGGCCCGUAAGUGUCUUGUGAAAUCCCCCGGCUCAACCGGGGAACGGCUGGGCAUACUGCGGGUCUUGGGCCGACUAGGGGCAGCCGGAACAAGCGGUGAGCGGUGAAAUGCGUAGAUAUCGCUUGGAACGCCGAAGGUGAAAACAGGCUGCUGGGGUCGCGCCGACGCUGAGACACGAAAGCCAGGGGAGCAAACGGG